AAAACUUUCAACAACGGAUCUCUUGGUUCUGGCAUCGAUGAAGAACGCAGCGAAAUGCGAUAAGUAGUGUGAAUUGCAGAAUUCAGUGAAUCAUCGAAUCUUUGAACGCACAUUGCGCCCUUUGGUAUUCCUUAGGGCAUGCCUGUUCGAGCGUCAUUUAAACCUUCAAGCUAAGCUUGGUGUUGGGUGACUGUCCGCUUCACUGCGGUCUCGCCUCAAAAUUAUUGGCGGCCGGUACAUUGGCUUCGAGCGCAGCAGAAACGCGAACUCGGGCCCGUCGUAUUGGCUCCCAGAAGCUAUCUCACAAUUUUGACCUCGGAUCAGGUAGG
rnacentral:rRNA from 2 species